GAGCACGUAGGUGGGUUUGUAAGUCAGAUGUGAAAGUCUUCUGUUCAACGGAAGAAUUGCAUCUGAAACUGCGAGUCUUGAGUGUAGGAGGGGAGAAUGGAACUUCUGGUGGAGCGGUGAAAUGCGUAGAUAUCAGAAGGAACUCCGGCGGCGAAAGCGAUUCUCUGGCCUAUUACUGACACUCAGUGUGCGAAAGCUAGGGGAGCAAACGGGAUUAGAUACCCCGGUAGUCCUAGCCGUAAACGAUGGGCACUAAGUAGAGGGGUUUU
rnacentral:rRNA from 1 species